rnacentral:miRNA from 1 species
AACCUCAUUGAUUGGAAGGAAUUCCUUCCAAUCUGAGGUUGUUAUAAACCUCAUUGAUUGAAAGGAAUUCCUUCCAAUCAUAACAACCUCAGAUUGGAAGAAAUUCCUUCCAAUCAAUGAGGUU